AUGACACAGUCCGGUUUAGGAGAGGUGGCAGUCUCAGGGUCCCUCAGUCUGACUUGUGCUGUCUCAGAUUCUGCCCUCUCUACUGGUGGAGACUGGUGGCACUGGAUCAGGCAGCCCCCAGGAAAAGGGCUGGUGUGGCUGGCAUUGAUAGACAGAUAUGGGAACACUCACUAUCUCCCUGACAUUCAAAAUCGAACCACCAUCACUGUGGACCCUUCCAAGGACGAGUUCUACCUGCGAGUGGACAGCCUGAGUCCACAGGACACAGCAACAUACUACUGUGCUAGGAGCACCUACCGGAUGUAUAAACCACCAUGA